rnacentral:lncRNA from 1 species
AUGCUGGCCAGUGGACAACCUGACUUAUUCUCCUCUGCUGCUGUCACCAUCACCCCAAUGCUGAGCUUCAUCAAUGGAAAACAUGAGGUGACCCUGGAGCCAGAGAGAAGACGGAUAGAGGAGGAGGUUGGGAGGAGACCAGGAGGAGACCAGUUCCAGUUUGAGGGCAAUGUGACCGCGCUGGGGGGCAGCGAGGAGGAGAUGACCCCCACCGUUUUUGAUUACUCUGUGAUAGAGAUUGGUACUAUAACAGAUGAGACUGAGGUUCAGAAUGAGAUCUCUUUGGUGCCCAAGGAGGAACUGUUCUCAACUUCCCCACUGCCUUUGUCAAUGUCCACUCUGGACACAUUGUUUGAAAGCUAUGGCCCUGAGAUGGUUCAUGUGGAGUCAACUCCUCCUCUGUCACCUCCAGAGCAGGCUGAGUCAACCACACAAGGCCCUGCUGUAAAGAUAGAAGUGACUGCAACCUCUACACCUGUCACAACAAUUGUGGAAACCACCCCAUCCAAAACAGAGCAAACAGCUGAGGGUGUAUCAUCUUUUUCAGAAACCAGAGAGGGACCAAGUGACAUCAUAACUACAUCCACUGAAGCAGUGUCCACUGUUUCACCAUCUGGCACAGCAGUAACCAAAGCUUCAGAACAAACCCAAACAUCUCAUACACCCACACCCCCUGAAGGAAGCCAGCAAGUCAGCACCUCUGUGUUUGACAAAGAGGUGGAGGGAUCAGAGACCCAACCCCCGGAUGAUGACAGUAAUGCUGAGGUGACUCAGCCAGAAGGGUCUGUGGAAGAGCUCUCUGUCUCUCCCACAACUGAACUGCACGUGUCCACAGAUGCGACUGAAAUUGCAGAAGGAACAAAGAGCACCUCUGCUGUUCCAGAUGUUGUAAUCUCCACUCAAACCCCUUUACUGUCCAUCUCUACACCCACUUCUGGUGAUGUUGAAGAUGGAUCACCGCCAGCGACCCCCAGUGACAUUGAGGGCUCCACCUCAGGCGAGGAGGAAGGAUCAGCACAGGACACACACACUCCUCAGGAACCAACCAGCACCACUCUGCCUUCCUUAACAACAAGUGCCCAAACAACUUUAGGAGAAACGAUCACGACUGAGGUGACGCCAUCCAAAGAGGCAGGCAGCACAAAAUCACAUUCCUUGAGCUCUACCACAGCUGAAUUUUUGACAAGCCAGAAAGAGGGAACAUCAGUUAGCCAGCCUUUUGUGUCUCCCACCGUGAAAGACACGUCU